AGCCAUGCCGCGUGAGUGACGAAGGCCUUAGGGUCGUAAAGCUCUUUCGCCAGGGAUGAUAAUGACAGUACCUGGCAAAGAAACCCCGGCUAACUCCGUGCCAGCAGCCGCGGUAAUACGGAGGGGGUUAGCGUUGUUCGGAAUUACUGGGCGUAAAGCGCGCGUAGCGGAUUGGAAAGUUGGGGGUGAAAUCCCGGGGCUCAACCCCGAACUGCCUCCAAAACCAUCAGUCUAGAGUUCGAGAGAGGUGAGUGGAAUUCCAAGUGUAGAGGUGAAAUUCGUAGAUAUUUGGAGGAACACCAGUGGCGAAGGGGCUCACUGGCUCGAUACUGACGCUGAGGUGCGAAAGUGUGGGGAGCAAACAGGAUUAGAUACCCUGGUAGUCCACACCGUAAACGAUGAAUG
rnacentral:rRNA from 1 species